GUAAUACUCUCUUCAUCCGAAAAUAUUUGUCAUCAAAAAGAAUAAAAAUGAAUGUAUCUAGACGUAUUUUAGUUCUAGAUACUUCCCUUUUCAUCCAUUUUGAUGACAAGUAUUUUCGGACGAAGGGAAUACAUG
rfam:Triticum aestivum genome assembly, contig: Triticum_aestivum_CS42_TGACv1_scaffold_081479_1DS